AUACUUACUUGGCAGGGGAGAUACCAUGAUCACCAAGGUGGUUUUCUCAGGGCGAGGAUUGUCCAUUGCACUCCAGAUGUGCUGACCCCUGUGAUUUCCCCAAAUGUGGGAAACAAACAAAUCUCAAAAUCUUAUAAUGUUUC
ensembl:snRNA U1 U1 spliceosomal RNA